CCCUUAGAUGUUCUGGGCCGCACGCGCGCUACACUGAUGCAUUCAACGAGCCUAGCCUUGACCGAGAGGUCCGGGUAAUCUUUGAAACUGCAUCGUGAUGGGGCUAGAUUACUGCAAUUAUUAAUCUUCAACGAGGAAUGCCUAGUAAGCGUGAUUCAUCAAAUCGCGUUGAUUACGUCCCUGCCCUUUGUACACACCGCCCGUCGCUCCUACCGAUUGAGUGUGUUGGUGAGGAGUUUGGAUUGGCCUCGGAAGGUGGUUCGCCACCGUCCGUAGCUGAGAAGUUCUCCAAACCGCCCCACUUAGAGGAAGGAGAAGUCGUAACA
rnacentral:rRNA from 1 species